UCUUCCUCUCGCCUUUCCUCUUGAUCCGGGACGAAGCAGAGCCACACCACCGAAGGCCUCCUCCCCCGCCCUCCAACCCACGUCAGGGACUGCAAGCCCGCCGCCCCAAGCCCGCUGCAAUCCAACACAGUCGCCACCAGCUGCUACAAGCAAUUUUUUUGCCGCGGUGCCGCCGCUCGCAGCGGCGAUCGGGGAUGACGAACGACGUUGCUACGUCGGGGGAGAAGCAUGCUUUUGCAAGGGGCGCACUGCAACAUGGGGCCAGCUGCGAGGGUUGGGGGUCGCCGUUCGCAGCUGCUGCCAUGGAGCAUCUGGAAGCACCGUCGAGAGUCAUCGGCGCUGCGAGGCAACACUCGCCGGAGCCAGCCGGUGGCGAUGCAGCAUUCAAGCCACCGCAAAAUUGGAGGGGGCGCGACGCGCAGGGCAUAGGUGCUGUGGUGCAACCUCGUCGACGCGCUGACGCUGAGAUGCAGCCUCAUCGGCGCUGCUGGUGCUGCAAGUCGCCGGCGGUGAAGCUGCAAUGGAGCGCUCGCCGGCAGCAACCCCGUGCUCCGAUGCAGCACUCACUUGGGGCGGCUCCCCGUGCAGCAGCGUAGCGCUUGCCGGCGGCUCUCGAAGCUGGGUGCUUCAAUGGAGCUUUCACGCGGCGGGUCCUGUGCUCCGAUGCAACGCUCGUCGCCGGUGCUACAACGCAUCACCAAGGAGGAGACAAGAGGCGGCGGCACUCACCGUGUUGUUGCAACGCAGCACGCAAGGGGCGGCAGGCGGCUACUCGUGCUCCGUUGCAACACUCGCCGACGGCUUGGGAUUUUGCAUGGCAGCACUCGCUGGCGACUCCCGAUGUUGAGAGAUCGAAGGAGGGAGAGGGGCCUGUUUGUGCGGUGGGAGGAGAAGACUGCGUGUGUUGACUAUUCAACCACUGAGAGAUCGCAUCGCGGGAAUGGAAUCCGAACAAAUCGACAAACUUAAAAUCCGCCGGGUGCAAGGUCGUCUGCGAUCUCAUCGAGGGCCACGCGGAAGGUCGACUCCUGUGAUCUCGUCAAGGGCCACGCGAAGCGACUGCUGUCGUUCGGCCACACCAACCAUGGCGCCGGCGGGGAAUCUAUACUGCUCCCCUCAAUUGAACUGAUGCACCGUCUUGGCUUUGGUCAGAAGUGGCGCAACAUUUUAUCUCUGCUCUGGAGCUCCUCUUCCUCUCGGGUGAUGGUUAAUGGUGAACUGGGGCAGAGCUUCCUUCACCGUCGCGGACGCUCCGGCAGGGAGACCCACUGUCGCCCAUGUUAUUCACCAUCGCCAUCGCCCCACUUCACUGGAUGUUUCGAGAAGGCCUGCUCAGCUCAAUGGGUGCUCUUUCCACUUUGCAGCUCCCUCCCUCCCAGCUCAGGGUUAGUCUGUACGCCGAUGAUACGGCUCUUUUCGUCUCGCCUUUACGUCAGAUAUUGAGGUGACCAAGGAGAUUCUGAACUGUUUUGGGAAGGCAUCUGGCCUCAUGGCUAAUCUGGUAAAGAGUGGCGUUAAUCCUAUUGCUUGUGACCAGGUUGAUCUGGAUGCUCUUCUUCCGAAUUUUUCAAUUCCGGUGCUGCAAUUCCCCUGCAAGUAUCUUGGUCUACCGUUGCAUUACAUGAAAAUUACCAGAGCUUAUCUGCAACCCACCCUGGAUAAAAUGGUUUCGAGGCUGCAACGCUGGAAGGGAAACUACUCUCUAACUGCGCUUGUCUCCGGCUAAUUAGCUCGGUACUCUCUGCCAUUCCCUCGUAUCUCAUCUUGGUGUUCGGCUGGACAUGUGGGCUGUCAAGCAAGUGGACGAGUUGAGGCGCAACUUCUUAUGGAGAUCUAAACCUGAUGCUAAUAGUGGCAUGGCUUUGGUUAAUUGGGCAACGGUCUGCCGCCCGAGAGACCUAGGGGGCCUUGAGGUCUUGGAUUUGCUACGCUUCGGGCAUGCUCUUCGCCUGCGUUGGAAAUGGUUAGAUAUGAGUCUAUGGAUGACUGAUGAAAGACCUUGGAUCGGUUCCCCUACUCCCUGUGAAUCUUUGAUGCUCAGGAUGUCACUCUUUUCAGGGCUGUGACUACCAUUCAUCUGGGAAAUGAUCGCAAGGCCUCCUUCUGGCAUGAGAGAUGCCUUGACUCCUGACCUUCUUCCUCUCUCCACCAGGAAGAGCAUCUACUCCAGUUCAGCAGGCCAUCAAUAACCAAUCUUGGAUGUCCGGGCUGCACCGCAUUUCCGACGCAUCUCAGGUGCGCCAGUUCACCCAUCUCUGGCUCGUGCUUUAACAGUUCAGCCAGGUAAGGAGGAUGCUAUAAGUUGGAACUGCAGCGCUUCUGGCGUAUACACUGCUAGCUUCGCAUAUUUGGCGCACUUCUAUGUUUCCUUUUCCACAAGCAACUUCUCCAGGCUCUGGAAGGCAAAUGUUGAGGCGAAAUGUCGUUUCUUCACAUGGUUUUCGAUUCAGGGCCGAAUUCUCACCUACGACAACCUCUCCGUCAGGGGAAUGGCUCAUAAUCAGCUAUGCAAUCUGUGUGACCAGGUUGAGGAGAUCUCUCUGCAUCUUAUCCUCAAGUGUUCUUUCGCGAAGGAGGUUUGGCUAUUGGCGGCGGAUUGGUGUGACUGUCCGACCACUGCUUCUAAUGCCGAAAAUGCCACCUCUUUCCUCAUGGUGGAGUGAGCUUACUUGUCCCAUGAACGACCAAUGCAUCGUCGCGUGUUGGAGCAUUCCUGUCUGCUCGGUCCUGGAGUCCUUCACCUGAUUAAGCAAGAUCUUCUUCUGCUUCAGCCCACUACUACUGCCUUACGGCUUUCAGACUGCGAGAAUGAACCACCCCCUGAGCCACUUAUUUCUCUUAUUAUGCACAGGGUGCGUUUGGGCAGCCAUAGGCCUUUGCCUUGUAAAGCUAUCUCUGUAAAACUCUCUCUUCUUAAUAGUAUAAUAUAUGCAGAUCAUUGCCAGUUCCU